AAUUUCUAUGUUACAUUUCCAGCUAUUGCAUAAUAUUUCUUGUCAGCAGAUAAACACAGCAGCAGUGCCUAAACUCUGCUAAACUGAUCAAUGUGGUACCCAGGAAAAUUCAAAUUUAUAGCUUUUUGGAGCGAAAACAGUUCUGGAGAGAGUUUGAAGGUUAUUUUUGUCAUUGCACAUUUUUUUGGUGGGGCCAUGCCGGCCACGUCAGCAAACUAACGGCACAGUUACGGAAAUUGGCCUCCGGCCUUUCCUUGGUAGCGAAAUAGAAGUUUGGGUACCACAUUGAUAAUUUUUAAAGUAUGGGUACCACUUUGACCGUGCCACAAAAGUUGGGGUACCGGCGGUGCAUUUUCCUCUGCUGAAUAUAUAUUGUCAAAAAUAGAACUCUGCAAUAUAUGUCAGUUUGAAGAAUAUUCUCAGUUGUAUAAAAAAUACUACUUCAAAAUAAAACCAGAGUCAAGCCGACACUGGUUAACACAAUUUUUUUCAUAAACUCUCAAACCUAUGGGAUGAAUUAGCUAUAAAAGGUUAUCCUGAUUUUAUAACUAAAAUUAACAAACAUGAUAAUCUAGGGUUCAGAAUAAAUUUUGUAUUAAGACUUAUCACUGAAAGAUGUGUGGAAGUUAGAGCUAAAAAACAGAUAAAAAACCAAAUUAGUAAUGAUUCCAGAGGAAGAAAAUGUUGUGACAAAAUACUUACAGAAAAUUAGAAAAUUGGUUGUAAUCCCCAACCAAGAUCUUUUAAAAAGAGAAGAUAUAAAUGGAAACCAUUUAAAAAGAAAAAAAUUUACAAAAAAGAAAAAAUAUAUUAGAAAGAAAAAACAGUCUGAGAAAACUAAAAACCAUAAAAAAUGCAAAUGUUACAUUUGUAAUGAAGAAGGGCACUAUGCUCCAGAAUGUCCUAAAAAGGGAAAAAAUACUAAAAAGAUGGUUAAAAUGUUAGAAGAAAAUAACCUCAAAAUAUUGUUCGUGAAGAAAUCUCCGACAAUGAAGAAAUUUUAUAUGAGCUAGAAACGGAAAGUGAUAGUGAGACGACCCGCCCCAAAUUUCAUCCUGAAACCCGGAGUAAGUCAUGCGGGGACCACCUCCAAGGAAAAUUUUACCGAAAAGAUUGGUAAAACCUUCCUUGAACAUGGACAACCCUAACUCGAAAAUUUCAAAUUUACACUCUUACUACAACACGUCCAAACUUCACAUAAAUAUCCAGCUAAUAAAGGCAAAUAUUAUCCUUCAGAGAUUCUGAACAUCAAACCAACAGGCCGAGCACACUACCGAAAUAAUAUACAACAAUCCCAAAGUAUCCAGAGCUACUAGACUCUAGCGGAAGCAAGAAAACACGAGUAGGUUGAACAUGUAACCUACUGAUGAAAACUGGCAGAAAUGGGGGUGACUAUGCCUCGCCUCCUACUAGAUCCAACCCGAACUCUGCAGACUGGGCAUUAUAAAACGAAGGGCCCAAGGGAAAAACAUUUAAUAACGUUAGAGUGAGUGGACAAAAAUAAAUUAAUAAGAAAAAUAUUUAUGUUUCCCCAAAUCCAUUUCUAAGGAAAAAUCGAAUGCAUGCCGCAAGCGAUAAAACUUUUAUCUCAUAAAAUAUCGAGCCUCUCAGACUCUAUAAUAUAUGUAUGUGUUUACACACGUCCAUGCUCCCUAUAUAAAUUCAUGGGUCUAUAUAGAGCUACUACGCUCGCGUCCAAUGCUCACGUCACGCCUUAAUGCGGUGCUACACUAUGCCAUUAAGGUGGACAGACGGGUGUAUAAAUAUGUGUCCAUACCCCCUAUAUGAAUUAAACACUCAUAUAGGGUUACUACGCUCACGUCACACCAUAAUGCGGUUAUAUGCUACACCAUUAAGGUGGACAGACACAUAGGGCUAGCUAGCAUUUUUAUACAUACUCUCCUCAUAAAUACAUAUUUAUAUUCACCGAAAAUCCCAUUUUCGGUAACUCUCCAAGAGAAAUAAAAUCGUNNNN
rnacentral:lncRNA from 1 species